rnacentral:misc_RNA from 1 species
UCCCCGUUACCGGGGCAGUCUAGCUAGAGAAAUUCAACUAACUAUAAGGGUUGCGCUCGUUAAUGGACUUAACCAAACAUCUCACGACACGAGCUGACGACGGCCAUGCAACACCUGUCACUGCGGCCCGAAGGCACUCUCUCCUUUCGGAAAGAUUGGCAGGAUGUCAAACCCUGGUAAGGUUCUUCGCUUAUCGUCGAAUUAAACAACACGCUCCACCGCUUGUGCGGGUCCCCGUCAAUUCCUUUAUGUUUUAAGCUUGCGCUCGUACUCCACAGGCGGGAUGCUUAACGCGUUAGCUUCGCUACUACAAGGGUCGAUACUUAUAACAGCUAGCAUCCAUAGUUUACGGCGUGGACUAC